rnacentral:rRNA from 1 species
GAUGAACGCUGGCGGCGUGCCUAAUACAUGCAAGUCGAGCGAACGGACGAGAAGCUUGCUUCUCUGAUGUUAGCGGCGGACGGGUGAGUAACACGUGGAUAACCUACCUAUAAGACUGGGAUAACUUCGGGAAACCGGAGCUAAUACCGGAUAAUAUUUUGAACCGCAUGGUUCAAAAGUGAAAGACGGUCUUGCUGUCACUUAUAGAUGGAUCCGCGCUGCAUUAGCUAGUUGGUAAGGUAACGGCUUACCAAGGCAACGAUGCAUAGCCGACCUGAGAGGGUGAUCGGCCACACUGGAACUGAGACACGGUCCAGACUCCUACGGGAGGCAGCAGUAGGGAAUCUUCCGCAAUGGGCGAAAGCCUGACGGAGCAACGCCGCGUGAGUGAUGAAGGUCUUCGGAUCGUAAAACUCUGUUAUUAGGGAAGAACAUAUGUGUAAGUAACUGUGCACAUCUUGACGGUACCUAAUCAGAAAGCCACGGCUAACUACGUGCCAGCAGCCGCGGUAAUACGUAGGUGGCAAGCGUUAUCCGGAAUUAUUGGGCGUAAAGCGCGCGUAGGCGGUUUUUUUAAGUCUGAUGUGAAAGCCCACGGCUCAACCGUGGAGGGUCAUUGGAAACUGGAAAACUUGAGUGCAGAAGAGGAAAGUGGAAUUCCAUGUGUAGCGGUGAGAUGCGCAGAGAUAUGGAGGAACACCAGUGGCGAAGGCGACUUUCUGGUCUGUAACUGACGCUGAUGUGCGAAAGCGUGGGGAUCAAACAGGAUUAGAUACCCUGGUAGUCCACGCCGUAAACGAUGAGUGCUAAGUGUUAGGGGGUUUCCGCCCCUUAGUGCUGCAGCUAACGCAUUAAGCACUCCGCCUGGGGAGUACGACCGCAAGGUUGAAACUCAAAGGAAUUGACGGGGACCCGCACAAGCGGUGGAGCAUGUGGUUUAAUUCGAAGCAACGCGAAGAACCUUACCAAAUCUUGACAUCCUUUGACAACUCUAGAGAUAGAGCCUUCCCCUUCGGGGGACAAAGUGACAGGUGGUGCAUGGUUGUCGUCAGCUCGUGUCGUGAGAUGUUGGGUUAAGUCCCGCAACGAGCGCAACCCUUAAGCUUAGUUGCCAUCAUUAAGUUGGGCACUCUAAGUUGACUGCCGGUGACAAACCGGAGGAAGGUGGGGAUGACGUCAAAUCAUCAUGCCCCUUAUGAUUUGGGCUACACACGUGCUACAAUGGACAAUACAAAGGGCAGCGAAACCGCGAGGUCAAGCAAAUCCCAUAAAGUUGUUCUCAGUUCGGAUUGUAGUCUGCAACUCGACUACAUGAAGCUGGAAUCGCUAGUAAUCGUAGAUCAGCAUGCUACGGUGAAUACGUUCCCGGGUCU